rnacentral:rRNA from 1 species
GACGAACGCUGGCGGCGUGCUUAACACAUGCAAGUCGAACGAUGAAGCGGGUGCUUGCACUCGUGGAUUAGUGGCGAACGGGCGAGUAACACGUGAGUAACCUGUCCUUUUCUUUGGGAUAACGGCUGGAAACGGCUGCUAAUACUGGAUAUUCAGGCUGCAUCGCAUGGUGUGGUUUGGAAAGGUUUUUUCUGGGAUUGGGUGGGCUCGCGGCCUAUCAGCUUGUUGGUGGGGUGAUGGCUUACCAAGGCUUUGACGGGUAGCCGGCCUGAGAGGGUGGUCGGUCGCACUGGGACUGAGAUACGGCCCAGACUCCUACGGGAGGCAGCAGUGGGGAAUAUUGCACAAUGGACGAAAGUUUGAUGCAGCGACGCCGCGUGGAGGGUGUAGGCCUUCGGGUUGUGAACCCCUUUUUCUCGCGAAAAAGGCACAGUUUUGGCUGUGUUGAUGGUAGUGGGGGAAGAAGCGCCGGCUAACUACGUG